GGGCGAUUAGCUCAGUUGGGAGAGCACCGCCCUUACAAGGCGGGGGUCACUGGUUCAAGCCCAGUAUCGCCCACCA
rnacentral:tRNA from 33 species